AUGAGUAAAACAGUUUGGGAGAGGAAAAGUGGCUGCAGGGCAGGUGAAGGGAUCUGCAAAUGUCAUGUGCUGUCAUCUUUCCACUGGCUGGCGUCAGAGCCCUCAGAGGCUCCGUGUUGGGACAGCUUCUCCCAUGGUGACAAAGUCCCUGGAAAUGAGGAGGAAGUUGAACGUGGACAUCACUUCUGCCCUGGAGGGCUGUGCCUCAGCCAGCUGCAGCAGUGGAGUGGGAGCCCAGCCUUGGACAUGGGCGCAGCUGGGAAAUGCUGUAGGAGCACUGUAAGUGUUAACCAGGGUCCAGACAACGCUGGGAACCAUCACAAGUGGUUGCAGUUAGUCCUGGGGGGAUGAAUCUCAAAUUCAGUCACAAUUGUAAACAUUGGUUCUUGCCUGCACAGAACGCUCAUUAAUGCACAUUGUAAUAUUAUUUCUUUCCUGGGGGAAGAAAUCCUGGGAUGUGACAGAAGUUAAAUCUGUGUGCGGUUGCAGCACUCAUUCAUUCAUGCCGCUCGUCAUGUGCAGCCCAAGGGUGCCACGUUUCUGUGGCGUGGGAGGAUGUGCCUUCUCCAGCACAUUGCUCAUCCACCUUUCUUCCUCUACGCAAGCCCAUGAGCAGCAAUCACUUUCUGCUGGAAAUCCUGCCCUGGCUUGCUGUCAGCAAUCCUAGCUUAUACCAAAAGGUUAGCUUAUACCUAAGAGGUUGGUUUUUAGUAGCUUUCAACUUUGCCAUACUAAGUGUUCACUUCAAGAUGAAGUUAUUUAGCCAGGGAAGGGUGCAGUAAAUCAUCAGUCAUUUUAGUCACUUGAUGUGCAAGGAAUAAAUUGUAGCUUUCCCUAUAUACA
rnacentral:lncRNA from 1 species